rnacentral:tRNA from 1 species
AAAAACUUAGUUAAAAACAUAACAUUAACUUGUCAAGUUAAAAUUAAUUAAAUUUAGUUUUUA